GAUGAAGAACGUAGCGAAAUGCGAUAAGUAGUGUGAAUUGCAGAAUUCAGUGAAUCAUCGAAUCUUUGAACGCACAUUGCGCCCCUUGGUAUUCCAUGGGGCAUGCCUGUUCGAGCGUCAUUUGUACCUUCAAGCUCUGCUUGGUGUUGGGUGUUUGUCUCGCCUCUGCGUGUAGACUCGCCUCAAAACAAUUGGCAGCCGGCGUAUUGAUUUCGGAGCGCAGUACAUCUCGCGCUUUGCACUCAUAACGACGACGUCCAAAAGUACAUUUUUACACUCUUAACCUCGGAUCAGGUAGGGAUACCCGCUGAAAUUAAGCAUAUCAAUAAGCGGAGGA
rnacentral:misc_RNA from 1 species